GAUGAAGAACGCAGCGAAAUGCGAUACGUAAUGUGAAUUGCAGAAUUCAGUGAAUCAUCGAGUCUUUGAACGCACAUUGCGCCCUCUGGUAUUCCGGAGGGCAUGCCUGUCCGAGCGUCAUUGCUGCCCUCAAGCACGGCUUGUGUGUUGGGCUCCGUCCCCCGAUCCCGGGGGACGGGCCCGAAAGGCAGCGGCGGCACCGCGUCCGGUCCUCGAGCGUAUGGGGCUUUGUCACCCACUCUGUAGGCCCGGCCGGCGCUUGCCGAUCAACCAAAUUUUUAUCCAGGUUGACCUCGGAUCAGGUAGGGAUACCCGCUGAACUUAAGCAUAUCAAUAAGCGGAGGA
rnacentral:misc_RNA from 1 species